rnacentral:lncRNA from 1 species
UUACGUGUCUAACGAUGAGUCUUUCCUCCAACUUGAGUCCGAGAUCGCGAUUCCAUCGCACAAGAAUCCUGGCCGCGAAGGGCGGCGGGGCAGCGGGGUGGCGGGGGUGGCGGGGCCGGCGUUGAUUUUAACGCAAUAAAAGCGCUAAAGAGGUUUUGAUGGAGGGCGCCGCCCGAAGCUCCUCCUCUUCCGAGGCAGCCCCCUCCCCGCCCCUCCGGUAGGAUUUACUCGGCUCCAUCCAGCCGAUUCACAUGUCGCAAAGUUCCACUCCGUCGUUACAUUGUCGUUCCGUUCCGCAGCCAGUGUCAUCUCCCCGUCGCUUGGGCAUCCUGACCCUCCCGACCUCCGUGUCAGUGUGUGAGUGCGUUCCGGCAACCUUUUAAUUACCCCCCGACAAGUGAUACCUAUAGUGUCCAGUGCCCGAGGGUGUAUUGCGCGGUUCCAAGCUCCUCAAAGCUCGGCAUAGACCCCCAAGCUUUCGUUUUUACAACUUUCAUUUUAACACCCGCACGCAAUAAGGGAGCUAGACUUAUGGUUAGAUUGAUAAAAAUUGAUGGGGUUCACACAUUAAUUAGCAUGACCUCAUUCUAGAAUCGUGUAGAGUUGUCUCUGUUAGGAUCGAAGCUGAAUAGGAAACGUUGCUGCUGAAGAAACUAAUCUAGUUUGAAAGAUGGUGCGUAUCGUUAGGCUAAGUUUUGUGAUCAAUGUUCCUUGUGAUUUAUGAGGUGUCAUCGAUUGUGCUGAGAAAACCAUUCAAAGUAAUGGAUGCGUUCCUGAAGUCCGCCGCAACCUGUUUCUGUCCUCGCUGGACGAUACUAAAAAGUAAGUGGUAGGGAUGUAUCUCAGCUGCUGAUUUUGCUGAAAAGUUCUCUCCGCAAGUAUUGAGACGUUCGAGGCGCGACGGUGAUUAAACAUUCAUGAUGGAGGUCUCGAUUCCGGCACCUUUGGACUUCAGUCUGGGCGUGAAACCUCAACAGGGUCUACUGAAAAUGCUCCAAAAUUCUGCCACGACCAGUGAUUCCAGCAGUGCCUUCCGGGUUGUCACACCGAAGAGUAAACGAGAAGAUUCAAAGUCACCAUCGGAAGUUGCGGGAACACCAACCAUUUCAACAGUACCGUGUUAUAACAAUAGACUAUGGAGCAAUGGAGCAAGCACAUUCCAGCGGCCUUCCCAUUUUCCCUCCCUAAAUCGGAAUAAGAAAAAUAACGAUGUGAUAAAUUUCGGAGUGAGCAGGCUCGUGGACAAAUGCGACGAGGACAGCAAGGACUCGUGGGAGAGGUUCAAGAGACUGAACAAUAACAACAACAACAACAACUCAUCGAAGCAGUUCAAUCGGAAUGACGUCACAACGAUGACGGAGCGAACGGGCUCGCCCUCCCCCGGGCGGCAGGACGAGCGGUGGUCGUCGGAGAAGACGCCAUCGCCGUGCUCCUCGCCGGAGCUUGACGUGGACGUUGACGUGGACGUGGAGAGUCCGUCGCCGAUCGACGUCACCAUGCGCACCCCCACCCCCACCCCGAGCCCCUCCCCCUCGCCCAAGCGCUCGCCGUCGCCGUCAUCCUCACCACCGGUCAAGAAGUCCGAGGCCUUUAGCAUGUCGGCCCUCCUGAAACCGGAUACCCCGCGGAGCCGGAAGUCGGACGAGUUUCCGGCAGGUUUCUCGGAGACCAUUUCCGUCACCAGGUCUUUCCUCUACCCUGGCCUCCCGUUCUCCAAUAUCUUCCUUCGGGACGCCAAGGACCUGUCCCCGCAGUCUCAGAGCAUCAUCCCCAGGCACUUCCUCAGCCCAAACUUCGCACUGCCCAGCGGUUUGUAUCCUUCCAUGCCCAGCAAAGACGACCUCCUCGACGCCAAUAGGAAUCUCCUAACCGGCAACUUGUAUCUGAGCCUGGGUGCUGCCGCCGCCGCUAUGGCUAAUGCUCCGGCUAAUGGUUUGCCAGGUAUGGUGCUGUCAAUUGAUCUUGCGUAUUUCCAAGUGUUUCCGGGAAAUUAAUUUUUAACUUAAAAAGGACGCAUGAAUAGACUCUCAACU